rnacentral:lncRNA from 1 species
CUGUCUAUUAGAGGGUCUCUCUCUGGCUGUCUCUCAGGGGGUCUCUCUCUGGCUGUCUCUCAGAGGGGCUGUCUCUCAGAGGGUCUCUCUCUGGCUGUCUCUCAGAGGGGCUGUCUCUGGCUGUCUCUCAGGGGGUCUGUCUCUGGCUGUCUCUCAGAGGGUCUCUCUCUGGCUGUCUCUCAGAGGGUCUCUCUCUGGCUGUCUCUCACAGGGGUUGUCUAUUAGAGGGUCUAUCUCUGGCUGUCUCUCAGAGGGUCUGUCUCUGGCUGUCUCUCUCUGGCUGUCUCUCAGAGGGUCUCUCUCUGGCUGUCUCUCAGGAGGUCUGUCUCUGGCUGUCUCUCAGAGGGUCUCUCUCUAGCUGUCUCUCAGGGGUCUGUCUCUGGCUGUCUCUCAGAGGGUCUCUCUCUGGCUGUCUCUCAGAGGGGUCUGUCUCUGGCUGUCUCUCAGAGGGGCUGUCUCUCAGGAGGUCUGUCUCUGGCUGUCUCUCAGGGGGUCUGUCUCUGGCUGUCUAUUAGUCUCUCAGAGGGGCUGUCUAUUAGAGGGUCUGUCUCUGGCUUUCUCUCAGAGGGGCUGUCUAUUAGAGGGUCUGUCUCUGGCUGUCUCUCAGAGGGGCUGUCUAUUAGAGGGUCUGUCUCUGGCUGUCUCUCAGAGGGGCUGUCUAUUAGAGGGUCUGUCUCUGGCUUUCUCUCAGAGGGGCUGUCUAUUAGAGGGUCUGUCUCUGGCUUUCUCUCAGAGGGGCUGUCUAUUAGAGGGUCUGUCUCUGGCUGUCUCUCAGAGGGGCUGUCUAUUAGAGGGUCUGUCUCUGGCUUUCUCUCAGAGGGGCUGUCUAUUAGAGGGUCUGUCUCUGGCUGUCUCUCAGAGGGGCUGUCUAUUAGAGGGUCUGUCUCUGGCUGUCUCUCAGAGGGGCUGUCUAUUAGAGGGUCUGUCUCUGGCUUUCUCUCAGAGGGGCUGUCUCUCAGGGGGUCUGUCUCUGGCUGUCUCUCAGGGGGUCUGUCUCUGGCUGUCUCUCAGAGGGGCUGUCUAUUAGAGGGUCUGUCUCUGGCUGUCUCUCAGAGGGGCUGUCUCUGGCUGUCUCUCAGAGGGGCUGUCUCUCAGGGGGGCUGUCUCUGGCUGUCUCUCAGAGGGUCUGUCUCUGGCUGUCUCUCAGAGGGGCUGUCUCUCAGGAGGUCUGUCUCUGGCUGUCUCUCAGGGGGUCUGUCUCUGGCUGUCUCUCAGAGGGGCUGUCUAUUAGAGGGUCUGUCUCUGGCUGUCUCUCAGAGGGGCUGUCAAU